CGCGGCUGGUAACAGUCCGUGGCACGGUAAACUCCACCCGGAGCAAGGCCAAAUAGGGGUUCAUAAGGUACGGCCCGUACUGAACCCGGGUAGGCUGCUUGAGCCAGUGAGCGAUUGCUGGCCUAGAUGAAUGACUGUCCACGACAGAACCCGGCUUAUCGGUCAGUUUCACCU
rnacentral:RNase_P_RNA from 1 species